UACGUAGGGAGCAAGCGUUGUCCGGAAUUACUGGGCGUAAAGGGUGCGCAGGCCGCACGGGCAGUCAAAUGUGUAAUUCAGGGGCUCAACCCCUGCACUGCGCUUGAUACUUCCGUGCUCGAACCUUGGAGAGGAGUCUGGAAUUCUCGGUGUAGCAGUGAAAUGCGUGGAUAUCGAGAAGAACACUUAGGGCGAAAGCAAGACUCUGGACAAGUGUUGACGCUCAUGCACGAAGGCUAGGGUAGCGAACGGG
rnacentral:rRNA from 1 species